rnacentral:rRNA from 1 species
GAUGAACGUUGGCGGCGUGCCUAACACAUGCAAGUCGAGCGGAGAGGAAGAGAGUGAGCUGGGCGGAGGGGACUUGUUUCGGUGCAGCGGCGGACGGUAGAGUAAUACAUGAUGAACGUUCCCUCUACAAGGGUAGAGCCAGGGGAAACCACGAUUAAUAGCCGAUUGGACGGCGUUGGCGCGUUCUGGUGGGUGGGAAUGGUUAUCGGUAGAAGAUGGACUCAUGACCCAUUAGCUAGUUGGUGAUUUAAGAGGCCACGCAGGCGACGGUGGGUAGCCGGAUAGAGAGAGUGACCGGCCACAUUGGAACUGAGACACCGGACAGCCUCCUACGGGAGGAAGCAGUGGGGAAUAUCGCACAACGGGGGAAACACUGAUGAAGCGACGUUGCGUGAGCGAAGCCGGCCUUCGGGUAGUCACGCUCUGUUCUAUGGGAAGAAAAGGACGGUACAAUAGAAGGAAGCCACGGCUAACUACGUG